UCCUUGGUGGACUAGUGGCUAGCAUCCAGCUCUCUCAUCACUGUGGCCUGGGUUCAAUUCUCAGUCAGGGAA